ncrna:unclassified sequences nhaA-II RNA
AUCAGGUCGCUCCGCGCGGCCAGGCCGGCGCGCUCCGUAAGGGGCGACGAAUCCGGUCCGACGCCCGUCGAUAACCUGGCGUCACG